GAAAGGCAGCUUCCGUCCGCCUGCUCGCCGCGCGCGAAGCGCGUGGGCGGGCGGGCGUCAGGCCCGUGCGGGCGCGGCUCCGCCGAAGCGCACCCGUCUCGGCGCUGCGCCCUGGCCGUUUCUCCCGGGAGAUCCUGCGCGCGCCCCUUUGCCUUACGUUGACCCGGUGACCUGGAGGCAAACACCAGCAGAAGUCGCUGGGGAAUCCUAGUAUCGAAGGAGCCCUGCUUUCAGAGGCGUGUGUGACCCUGGACGGCGACCGUCUUAAAGGUGAUGGCACUGAGGCUCAAGGAAUAAAAUUCCUUCAAGGCACAGCUGGAAAGAAGAGAGGGAACAAGCGAUGUGAUCAGUUAUGCUGUAGGGGGGAAGGCGAAAGAGAGGAAGCCGUUUCCUCGCCUUUGCCGGCAAGGUCUGGCUGAUCCCUGGAGGCGCCUCAGAACCCGUCAGUUUGAAUCUCUUCCUUUCCAAGUGUCUGGCUGUGAAGAUAGCGGAGACUAUGGUCAGCCUGAUGCUGAAGCCUCUAGGAUGUCUUUUUUUCUCCUUCUCAAAAGAAAGGACUUUUUAGAUGCUGAGCUGCCUGGAAAAAGGCCCAUAUUUUAUUCAUUGCUGUAACCCCAAAGCACUCGGCGCAGUGUGCAAAGCAGUCUAACGCUGGAAUACUAUGCAGCUGUAAAAAGGAGGAGGAUGCUCUUUCUGUCCUGCUGUGGAAUGAACCCCAACAUAGCGAGAAAAAGCCACACUGAGCACAGGAUGCCGCCAUUUGGGUAAAGGAGGAGAAGUAAGUCUUAAUCUCUGGAGGGAUGUGUGAGAAACUGGAUGCCUCUGGAAAGGGAACCGUGUGUUGGGGGAAGAGGUAGGAGGGAAACUUUGCCACAGACCCUUUGGAAUUUCAAACCCUGUUGAAUGUUUUAGUGGUAAAUAAAUAAAACUUUAAUUUUAAAGAAUAUAUGUUGAAUUUAUCCAGAAUAUCCAGAAUUAGGUAAAUCUGAAGAGAUAGAAAGUAGUUCAGGGUAGCCAGGCACCAUGAGGAAGAUGGAAUGGGGAGUGACUGCUUGUUCAGGGUGAUAAAAAUAUUCUGAAACUGGUUGCUGGUGAUGAUGGAACAACAUUGUGAAUGUACAAAUGCCACUGGGUUGUACACUUCACUUUUUUAUUAAGGUAUAAUUGACAUGUAAUGUACUUCAAGUGGCUAGAAUGUUGAAUUUUAUGAUGUAUAUUUGAACAAGCAAAUGAAAGAAUAAAAUGCCUACAUUUACAGAUUUGCAUUAGGUGGCCUCCACAUGCAGUGAGAUGCCUCGGCUUCAUGGAGUUUUCGAUGGAAAAUUCCCAAAAUGUACAAAAGGAGAGCAUCAUGCACCCCACUUACCUACCACCCAGAUUCAGCAAUUAGCAACUCAAGGCCAACUCAUUUAUACCCUGGCCCACUGUUUGCCUACACCUACUGGAGUAUUUUGAAACAAACUAUAAAUAUUUCAGGACACAUCUCUAACAGCUAAGACCUCUUUUUCAAAAGCUUAUUUAUAAUAUGCUAUUGUACCUACAAGGCUAAGUUAUUCCUUAAUAUCAUCAAAAAACAGUUCAGAAUCCCAGAUUGCCUCUCAAAUGGCAUUUUUAGAGUUGACUUUAGGGUUGAAGAGACAGACUGCUUUUCCUGGCCAUAAUGAGACCUUGAGGAAGUUACAACUUCUUAUCUGAAGAUGACUGAAGCUGGAUGAGAUGUUAGUAAGGCUCCACUCCCACCAAGUGGUUUCUAAAGGGUUUCUGAUGGGCUCCUUGCCUCGGGCAGCCUGCAGUGCUGUGUGGCAUGUGGCAGUAGAUGUCAGUCAUGAAAUGCCAGCGAGACGAUUGAAAUCCUACUCUGAGAGGCCCCAGUUUAGCACUGGAACUCACCAGCAAGAAUCUCUAUUCUCCCUCUUGGUUACCAGUACAGCAGUGCCCCCUCAUCCAAGACCCCCCAGUCCCUGCGUGAAACCAUGGAUGGUACCAAAUCCUGCAUAUACUAAUUUUCCCUAUACAGACAUACCUAUAAUACAAUUUAGUUUAUAAAUUAGGCCCAGUAAGAGAUUAACAACAGUAACUAAUAAUUAAAUAGAACAAUUACAACAAUACAGUGUAACGAAAGUUAUGUGCAUGUGGUCUCUCUGUGUCUCUAAAUACCUUAUUGUACUGCCUGGGCCCUUCCUGUGAUGAUGUGAGAUGACAAAAUGCCCACACGGUGAGAUGGGGAGGGAGGAAUACAUGGGCACUGUGACCCAGCGUGAGGCUACCACUGACCUUCCGAGGACGCAGGAGGAAGGUCGUCUGCUCCCAGACCACGGCCAACCCUGGGAACUGACCGUGGAGCGUGGAGCCGUGCAGAGGGGUCCUCCUGCAUGCAUCUCAGCUUGUCCCCGACAUCGUUUAAUGUGAGCCUGGAUGACGCCCGUCUCCCUCCGGAGACUCCUGGGCUAAAUCCACCUCCCCGCAUUGCCUGGACCAGAGUCGCCAGCUGUCGGCCUCCUACUUGGGGAGCAGUGGGUCCGCAGGGGACUCGCAGGCUGCA